GACGGCUGAGUACUAGGAAGCGUACCUACCUAAAGCGCAAUGAAGUAAUUACAGAGAGUGUUGCAUACCGGACACGUUUCAAGAACAAGACUUCAGGUUGCUACAAAAUCUGAUGUUUCCACUGGACAGGUUGAUGUCCCAGAACAGAAAAGACUAAAGACUCUAAAGAAAGGCCCCAUCGGGCCCCAGCGGGCCCCAGCGGCGAAUGGCGGCUUCACACUGACCUACUCGCAGCUCCUGGCCGAAGACGGUCCUCUCGCCCAGGGCGGAGCAGUUCCAGCGG